GAAAUGCGAUAAGUAAUGUGAAUUGCAGAAUUCAGUGAAUCAUCGAAUCUUUGAACGCACCGUGCGCUCCUUGGUAUUCCUUGGAGCAUGCCUGUUUGAGUAUCAUGAAAUCUUCAAAGUAAAUCUUUUGUUAACUCAAUUGGUUUCUACUUUGGUAUUGGAGGUCUUUGCAGCUUCACACCUGCUCCUCUUUGUUCAUUAGCUGGAUCUCAGUGUUAUGCUUGGUUCCACUCGGCGUGAUAAGUUAUCUAUCGCUGAGGACACUGUAAAAGGUGGCCAAGGUAAAUGCAGAUGAACCGCUUCUAAUAGUCCAUUGACUUGGACAAUACUUUUAUGAUCUGAUCUCAAAUCAGGUAGAACUACCCGCUGAACUUAAGC
rnacentral:misc_RNA from 1 species